rnacentral:misc_RNA from 1 species
AAAUCUUGAGGAAACCAUUGCGCCGCAGUUCCCCGCGACGAUAACGCGCUUCCGCGCCACCAUGACCACCUACGUGCAGGCACUUGUCGAUGCCGGAUAUAUCGAGGGUGACGUCCGGACAUUGGGCGAGACGUUCUUCUCUGCCGCGCACGGUAUCGUCAUGAUGCAUAUGAGCGGCCUGUUGCGGACGGUCCGCGAGCGGGAUGACCAGCAUCUUGCCUCCAUGCGCCUCAUCGCCAGGGGGGCGGGUAUGUCGGAUGUUUCG